UUUCACGAGGCCCUAAUUAUUUGAUCAUUGCAGAGUUCUUCGCACACUCAUAUUGGACUACAAAUAAAAACAAGGAGGAUCUACUAUGAACUACAACAUCAAUUAAGUUUUCGUGGAAAUCUCAUUGUUAUGUUUUUUUCAAUGAGAUUCGAUUUUGAGCAAAUUGAUUUGUGUUCUACUAUAUUUGGGUUUCAAACUAGUGAUCUUUCUCUCUGAGGAAAUUGCAACAUGUGUUGGGAAUCCGGUACUCGCCCCGGUACCGGAUCUCGUGAAUCCGCAACUCGCUCCGAUACCAACUGCUGUGGAUCCGGUAUCGAUUGUUGGGAUUCCGCAACGGAAGCGUCAAAUCGGGUUUUUUACCAUAAACCCGUCUCCUCAGCAAAAGCUGAUACAAUCAUAAAAGAGAAAAAUAUGCUGGUAAAAUAAGAUUCAUUAAAUAAGAGAAGAUUACACCUGACUCCUCUUCUGCACAGAGUAGUUACAACCCGAGUCCUCUUUCUUGAAUCUCUCCUACCCUUCUCUCGUCUUCUAUAAUUCCACAAAGAAGACAAUCAUCCACGCGCGCCCGUGCACUAGGUGCACUCAACACAUUGGAUAACUCUCUCUCUCUCUCUUUUUCUCUCUCUCGGGUACGGCACCACACAAGCUCCUGCCGUACACCCUCACAGCUUCUCACAAAGAGCUAUUUAUAAGGCUCUACUAAAACGUACCCCAAUCCUAAUAUAUUUAGGAUUUCUACUCCAAUUAAUAUCUAAAUCUAUCUUAAUUAAUCUCUAAUAGAUUUAAAUAUUAAUCCUAAUCUAGUUAGGUUUAUCCUCUAAUUAAUAUUUAAAUCUUAAUUUAUCUCAAACAGAUUUAAAUAUUAAUUCUUAUCCAAAUAGGAUUUAACUACAAAUCUAAUCAAAUCCUAACAUUCUCCACCUUGGUUUGAUUUGUAAUUUUCAACCGUCACGUCGAGCUCACCAUGCAAGCUCCACCUUGAGCUUGUCUCCUCCGCUCGAUGUCGCCGCAUCCGCCGCUCCGCCUCGAGCGACUGCACCUCCGCGAACUUUUGGAACCCAAACCGUUUUCGCUCUCGUUCUGACUGUGCUUCCGUUCAGAACGUAUAAGUUCCCACGCUUGUUCGCCUCGCACACGACCCGAUCUCGUUUUCGGACCCUCAUAGCUCCACCUGAAGCCGAAAUAUCGCAACCCUUCGAGUCCAAUGCGCCUAACGAGAUCAAAUUCCGCUUCAAUCCAGGAACGUGCCGCACACCUGUCAGCGUCCUCACGACCCCAUCGUGCAUUCGGAUCUUUACCGUGCCGACUCCCAAUACCUUGCACGCUGUCCCGUUCCCCAUCAGCGCCUUUUCACCUUUGAUCGCCUUAUAGGUGGCAAAAGACUCCUUCUCUGGGCAUACGUGAAAAGAACACGCCUAAUCGAGCACCCACGCAUCGUCCGAAAUUUUCGCACCUCCGGUUGCCGCAUACAACACAUCAGAAUCGAUCAUCUCCGACUCUGCUGUCUGCGUCGUCGCUGAUACCGUCUCGUCCUGGUUCACGACAGUUUGCUCCUUCUGUCGCUUUAACUCCUUCAGAUCAUUCUGAAGUUUUUGACAGUUGCGCUUUAUAUGCCCUUUCCUGUGACAGUAAAAGCACUCCACCUCAGAUAGCGGCUUCUUCUGUCGAUCUCCGGUCGCUAAUGUUGUCGCCUUCUUCUUCGCUCUAACCACCAAAGCUGUAUCCCGGUUCUAUGUGCCGGACUCUUGAGUCAUCUUCCGUAUCUCGUUCGAGAGAAGCGCCGCCGUGACUGCCCCCACGCUUAUGGUCUCUUUGCCAUAAAGCAACGUGGUCACCAGAUGCUCAUAUAUCGCCGGUAGCGAAGAUAGUAAAAUCAGCGCCUUAUCUUCAUCAUCCAGAUUGACUCCGAUGCUAGUCAACUGGGCUACCACCUUGUUGAACUCAUUUAGAUGAUUAUGUAGGCUCGCCGCUUCUUGCAUCCGCAACGUAAACAGUCGCUGCUUCAAAUACAAUCUGUUCGUCAGGGAUUUGGUCAUGUACAGAUCUUCCAAUUUCUUCCACAAUUUCGCCGGUGUCGUCUCGCCGACUACAUUGUAAAGAACCUCAUCUGCUAAUGAUAGAUGAAGCGUACUCAGCGCCUUCCGCUCCAUCUUCGUCCAUGCCGCAUCCGUGACCUCUGCCGGCUUCGCCUCCUUCUCGUUCAACGUCUCGUCUAACUCUUGCUGUACGAGGAUUGCUCGUACUUUAAUUUGCCAUAAUCCGAAAUUGUUCUUGUCGUCGAACUUCUCGAUUUCGAAUUUCGUGGCCAUCUCCGUCGAUCUCUCCCGCAGAUCGGUAACCUUUGGCUCUGAUACCACUUGUUGGGAAUCCGGUACUCGCCCCGGUACUGGAUCUCGUGAAUCCGCAACUCGCUCCGAUACCGACUGCUGUGGAUCCGGUAUCGAUUGUUGGGAUUCCGCAACGGAAGCGUCAAAUCGGGUUUUUUACCAUAAACCCGUGUCCUCAGCAAAAGCUGAUACAAUCAUAAAAGAGAAAAAUAUGUAGGUAAAAUAAGAUUCAUUAAAUAAGAGAAGAUUACACCUGACUCCUCUUCUGCACAGAGUAGCUACAACCCGAGCCCUCUUUCUUGAAUCUCUCCUACCCUUCUCUCGUCUUCUAUAAUUCCACAAAGAAGACAAUCAUCCACGCGCACCCGUGCACUAGGUGCACUCAACACAUUGGAUAACUCUCUCUCUCUCUCUUUUUCUCUCUCUCGGGUACGGCACCACACAAGCUCCUGCCGUACACCCUCACAGCUUCUCACAAAGAGCUAUUUAUAAGACUCCACUAAAACGUACCCUAAUCCUAAUAUAUUUAGGAUUUCUACUCCAAUUAAUAUCUAAAUCUAUCUUAAUUAAUCUCUAAUAGAUUUAAAUAUUAAUCCUAAUCUAGUUAGGUUUAUCCUCUAAUAUUUAAAUCUUAAUUUAUCUCAAACAGAUUUAAAUAUUAAUUCUUAUCCAAAUAGGAUUUAACUACAAAUCUAACCAAAUCCUAACAACAUGAACAAAGUACCAAGAGUGUUAGUUUUAUGUUAGAAUUAUAUCUAAAUACCAGCAAAAUUUGAGCUGUUGAUUAAGUAUUUUUAUAUAUAUUAAGCACUACCAUGUCCUCGUAAUGAUAUGUUCUAUUUCACUUAUGUGAUAGAUAUUGAAAUGUGCCUAAGCAAAGUUAGUGGAACUGUAUCGCAUUGAAAGGUUAGUAGAGCCUUUUUGUGGGUCACACACAAGUUGAAUUGCAAAAAAGUAAUGCUAUGCCCCCUCCUAAAAGUAGAUGUGAGUAGAUAUUUAGUUAAACUGGUUCGUUUGGGCUCUGUGGGACACACAUUAUAUGAUUUAAAUUCAUUGAUUUUGAUUCUGUAUGUUCUGAUAUCAAAAUUUAUGUCAUAAAAUGAUGAGCGUGGGAAUUGAACUUAAGAGGUACCUCUUAGAACAGAGAAGGCUUAGGAUAUACCAUAUUAUCCAAAAGUUCGAUUAGACUAUUCUGACAUCUGAAUAACCUGAGAGCAGACAUAGCUAAAGAAUCAAAUGGCAGCUAGGAGAAGAUGGGUGAUUUAGUUGGCAAAUAAAAUUCAAGUAAAUUUAACCUGAGAUAAAAACUGCACAACAUAAAUAAAAGAAAGAAAAGAAGAAAGCAAACAUAUAUGAAGCAGAUGAUUUAUCGCAGUUCGAUCUUUUCACCUACUCUAGUCCGGUCCUCUAUCUUCUCAAGACUCUCAUAUAAAUAUGAUUAGUUAAUUCAGAUUUGGCAAAAAUUCAGCACGGAUAUAAUUCGAAUAAAAUUCGUAUCUCAAUUUUUAAAUUUAUUGAAAAAUAUGACUUAAAAAAUGGAUUUGCCAAUUUUUCGGAUAUGCGAUUUAUAUGAAAAUUAUACGUUCACCAAUUAAAUAAAAAAUUCAGCUAUUAAACUAAGUUUUCUUCUCUAGAUUUAUGCUACUAGCAUACAUAAAUUCUUAAGAAUAUAAAAAUAGAGAGCUCCAAAGUAAAAUAGAUUAAUAAAAAAGUAAUAACAAAUUUUAUUAUCGUCUCCAUCUUCAUUUUUUUCAGAAUCCACAUACUCCGAAAGUUUAUGAAGUUUUUCAAUAAUACACGAAUAAUUCGGCAAUUAUUUGGAAAAAAAUUUUAUUCAAAAAUUUUACGUGUUUGUUUGGCUGAAUAGAUCGGCAUACGAGAGUUAUUUUAAAAAUAACUGUAUUUUAUCCAAGGCAAGUCCCCCGGGACCACGGCAAGACUUGCCUUGGGUCUAGGGUUCCGAGCCGUGCUGUGCCGGGCCAACGGCCUCUCCUCGUGCCUGGCCGUCGGGCCCCAGAAAUGCAGCCCAGCACGGCCUGAAGAGCCUGGCCGGCCCGGCCCGUUUUACACUCCUAACUAGCACUCUGCGAUAGGCUGGGUCUACCACUUGUUCCAAAACCAACUCUAUAUCCUAAUCUAUUUUAAAUAAAGUUCGGAUAAUUACAAAUUAUGAAUUCUCUUAAAUUUUGCUUCACACAAUUUUUGGUUGCAUCAUAAAACAAUUUGGAUGUAAAAAUUCGAGACAUAUUUAAUAGAACUUUUUGUAUAUAUAUAUAUAUAUAUAUAGAGUGAGGCUACUAUGCUAUCGGAAGCACGGAGCCUUCCGUGCUUCCAGNCCGGCUACUAUGCUAUUAAUAGUAUGAAGCACUUGGUGCUACCAAGUUUUCCGCCGUUAGAUCUACCCUUUUGAUCAUUAUCAUCCGUUAGAUCAUACUAUUCAUGCUAGUUAGGAGUGUAAAACGGGCCGGGCAGCCGGCCGCCCGGCCCGGCACGGAUAUUGUAGCAUUCGUGCCGGGCCGGGCCGGGCCGGCCAGGCUCUUCGGGCCGUGCUGGGCUGCAUUUCUGGGGCCCGACGGCCAGGCAUGAGGAGAGGCCGUUGGCCCGGCACAGCACGGCCCGGAACCCUAGACCCAAGGCAAGUCUUGCCGUGGUCCCGGGGGACUUGCCUUGGAUAAAAUACAGUUAUUUUUAAAAUAACUCUCGUAUGCCGAUCUAUUCAGCCAAACAAACACGUAAAAUUUUUGAAUAAAAUUUUUUUCCAAAUAAUUGCCGAAUUAUUCGUGUAUUAUUGAAAAAACUGCACAUCUCUUAAUCCAAUGGCCAAAAACUGGGUAGCACCAAUGACUUGGUGCUAUUAAUAGCAUAGUAGCCUAGUUCUAUAUGAGUCCGGCUACUAUGCUAUUAAUUNUUUUCGUGGAAAUCUCAUUGUUAUGUUUUUUUCAAUGAGAUUCGAUUUUGAGCAGAUUGAUUUGUGUUCUACUAUAUUUGGGUUUCAAACUAGUGAUCUUUCUCUCUGAGGAAAUUGCAACAUGAACAAAGUACCAAGAGUGUUAGUUUUAUGUUAGAAUUAUAUCUAAAUACCAGCAAAAUUUGAGCUGUUGAUUAAGUAUUUUUAUAUAAAUUAAGCACUACCAUGUCCUCGUAAUGAUAUGUUCUAUUUCACUUAUGUGAUAGAUAAUGAAAUGUACCUAAGCAAAGUUAGUGGAACUGUAUCGCAUUGAAAGGUUAGUAGAGCCUUUUUGUGGGUCACAAGUUGAAUUGCAAAAAAGUAAUGCUAUGCCCGCUCCAAAAGUAGAUGUGAGUAGAUAUUUAGUUAAAAAACUGGUUCGUUUGGACUCUGUGGGACGCGCAUUAUAUGAUUUAAAUUCAUUGAUUUUGAUUCUGUAUGUUCUGAUAUCAAAAUUUAUGUCAUAAAAUUAAUGAUGAAUGUGGGAAUUGAACUUAAAACCUCUUGGAACAGAAAAGGCUUAUGAUAUACCAUAUUAUCCAAAAGUUCGAUUAGAAUAUUCCGACAUCUAAAUAACCUAAGAGCAGACAAAGCUAAAGAAUCAAAUGGCAGCCAGGAGAAGAUGGGUGAUUUAGUUGGCAAAUAAAAUUCAAGAAAAUUUAACCUGAGAUAAAAACUGCACAACAUAAAUAAAAGAAAGAAAAGAAGAAAGCAAACAUAUAUCAAAUUGAUGAUUUAUCACAGUUCGGCCUUUUCGCCUACUCGAGUCCGGUCCUCCAUCUUCUCAAGGCUAUGAUAUAAAUAUGAUUAGUUAAUUCGGAUUCGGCAAAAAUUCAGCACGGACAUAAUUCGAAUAAAAUUCGU
rnacentral:lncRNA from 1 species